rnacentral:rRNA from 1 species
UACAGAGGGUGCGAGCGUUAAUCGGAAUUACUGGGCGUAAAGCGCGCGUAGGCGGCUUUGCAAGUCGAGUGUGAAAUCCCCAGGCUCAACCUGGGAACUGCUCUCGAGACUGCAUCGCUAGAGUAUGGGAGAGGGAAGUGGAAUUUCAGGUGUAGCGGUGAAAUGCGUAGAUAUCUGAAGGAACAUCAGUGGCGAAAGCGACUUCCUGGACCAAUACUGACGCUCAUGUGCGAAAGCGUGGGGAGCAAACAGG